rnacentral:rRNA from 1 species
AUGCGGGACAUCCCUAUGGCACAGGAUCCAGACAUGCAUAUGGCACAUGAUCCGGACGACGACGACAACGACGAUGGUACAUUUACCAACGUCGAUAAGUACUUUGCCGAACAUGGGUACGCUGACGAGUUUUGUGGGCCUCCUUCUCAAGAACCCAACCAAGACGACCGCGAUCUAGCUGGUAUGGCAGAGAAAACCAAUUGCAACAGGCAUCAUCUGGUGUUCAAUUCUGAGGAGACGCCUCCAGCUCCCGCCUUCACCGAGCCUCAGAUAGCUGAGGUGCGAAAUAUUAUCAGCCCCAACACGCUCAAGAAGGCGGUCUAUGAGCAGAACUCGGUCCCAUUACAGCAGAUCAAGAAGAAGGGACGGAAACGAAAGACUAACAAGGGCACCGGUGCGAGCCAGCCGGCACCAACUACGAUCCGUGCUCAGGACGGGCCACCUUCACCUAAGGAUAUCUCGAGGAGGGUGCAUGUGGCGGGUUGGGCGAUGCUACCGACAAAUAUGCUCAAUGCUGCAACCGGUGCUAAGCGAAGUCUGCAUGACAGUGUUCUUUCUUCGGAGAAGCGGCGUCUCUCCCACAAUGAUGUGGCAUACCCGGUUUUUGUGGCCAAGGUGCCAGAGGGCAAGGGCUUUGUGGAUGGCGCCAUCGGGUGUACGAUCGUCCUGCGGUUUGAUGACAUAUUUUCUAUGUUUAACCUUCAUCCGCUGCACUACACCUUCGUUCGGUUAUUUUCGCUGAGUAUGGAGAUGCAGAUCAUUCGAGACAAGACCCCGGACAUCAGGAUAGUUGACCCCUUCUACAUGCGUGCCAAGAUCUUGGGCAGCGCUGGGGACCGGCAAGUCGCGAGUUCACACCUCGAAGGCGUCAUUGUGGCAAACCCAGAUAAGGAUAAGUUCAUCAUGCCUUACUUUCCCGAGUAA